UACGGGGGGGGCAAGCGUUGUUCGGAAUUACUGGGCGUAAAGGGUUCGUAGGUGGCCAACUAAGUCAGACGUGAAAUCCCCGGGCUUAACCUGGGAACUGCAUUUGUGACUGGCAAGCUAGAGUAUGGCAGAGGGGGGUAGAAUUCCACGUGUAGCAGUGAAAUACGUAGAGAUUGGGAAGAACACCAGUGGCGAAGGCGGCUAUCUGGACGGUUUCUGACGCUAAGACGCGAAAGCGUGGGGAGCAAACAGG
rnacentral:rRNA from 1 species